GCUCUGCUUCAGCUGUGGCACAGAAGGCAGCACUCAGGACAAUCUCCAGCAUGGCCUGGGCUCCUCUCCUCCUCACGGUCCUGGCUCACUCCACAGGAUGCUGGGCCCAGUCUGUGCUGACUCAGCCGCCCUCAGUGUCUGGGAACCCUGGGCAGAGGAUCACCAUCUCCUGUUCUGGAAGCAGCUCCAACAUCGGGGUGUAUACUGUGCAAUGGUACCAGCAGCUCCCAGGAAUGGCCCCCAAACUUCUCAUCUAUGGUAAUAAUCAGCGACCCUCAGGGGUUUCUGACCGAUUCUCUGGCUCCAAGUCUGGCACCUCUGCCUCCCUGGCCAUCACUGGACUCCAGUCUGUGGAUGAGGCUGAUUAUUAUUGCCAGUCAUAUGACAGCAACCUGAAUGCUCACACAGUGCUCCAGACCCAGGGGGAAGUGAGACAAGAACCCCCUUUCUCCUCUGCCAAGAGGGUGAACACUCAACAGCUGCUGCUCAGUUGUGGCCUGUGGCUCCUGCUGCUGGUUUCCCCCAUGGUCCAGGGCAUCCGGGGCCCUGCCUGGGACGGUUUUGCUGGCGCCUCCAUGCAGCAGCUCUUCAAGCAGAGCAAACGGGACCGCUUCCCCUACUGA